AUGAACGCUGGCGGCGUGCCUAAUACAUGCAAGUCGAGCGAACAGACGAGGAGCUUGCUCCUCUGACGUUAGCGGCGGACGGGUGAGUAACACGUGGAUAACCUACCUAUAAGACUGGGAUAACUUCGGGAAACCGGAGCUAAUACCGGAUAAUAUAUUGAACCGCAUGGUUCAAUAGUGAAAGACGGUUUUGCUGUCACUUAUAGAUGGAUCCGCGCCGCAUUAGCUAGUUGGUAAGGUAACGGCUUACCAAGGCAACGAUGCGUAGCCGACCUGAGAGGGUGAUCGGCCACACUGGAACUGAGACACGGUCCAGACUCCUACGGGAGGCAGCAGUAGGGAAUCUUCCGCAAAGGGCGAAAGCCUGACGGAGCAACGCCGCGUGAGUGAUGAAGGUCUUCGGAUCGUAAAACUCUGUUAUUAGGGAAGAACAAAUGUGUAAGUAACUAUGCACGCCUUGACGGUACCUAAUCAGAAAGCCACGGCUAACUACGUG
rnacentral:rRNA from 1 species